rnacentral:rRNA from 1 species
AACGAACGCUGGCGGCGUGCUUAACACAUGCAAGUCGAGCGAUGAAGUUCCUUCGGGAAUGGAUUAGCGGCGGACGGGUGAGUAACACGUGGGUAACCUGCCUCAUAGAGGGGAAUAGCCUUUCGAAAGGAAGAUUAAUACCGCAUAAGAUUGUAGUAUCGCAUGAUACAGCAAUUAAAGGAGUAAUCCGCUAUGAGAUGGACCCGCGUCGCAUUAGCUAGUUGGUGAGGUAACGGCUCACCAAGGCGACGAUGCGUAGCCGACCUGAGAGGGUGAUCGGGCACAUUUGGACUGGGACACGGCCCAGACUCCUACGGGAGGCAGCAGUGGGGAAUAUUGCACAAUGGGGGAAACCCUGAUGCAGCAACGCCGCGUGAGUGAUGACGGUCUUCGGAUUGUAAAACUCUGUCUUCAGGGACGAUAAUGACGGUACCUGAGGAGGAAGCCACGGCUAACUACGUGCCAGCAGCCGCCGUAA